GCCAGGAGCUGGGAGUGUGAGAUGGGGAAGAGGAUGCACCAACCGAAAGGCUGAGCGGACAGGAGCAUGGUGCUCCAUUGUUUCUGGAAGAGAGGGAUGAGUGUUCCUCUCUGAUGAGAAUGGAGAGGAGGAGAGGAACGGGCUCAGGAGGAGGAGGAAUCCGAGAGAGAGCCUGACUGAGGCAGAGAAAGAGGCAGUGAGACAAGAGACAAAGGCACGGAGGCGCACUGGCGGACAGCAGAGGGAGGCACACAGGCAGAAGUCAGGGCCUCCCUGACUGAGUGCAGGUUGGUGUCCUGCACCCGGUCCGCACAGCACACUGACCGGCGCCGUGUGAUGCCUGGGGCUCCCUCUGCUGUCACCACUGAGCCCACGCCCUCAAGAGUCAGUGACGCCGGUUCCCAGCCUGUUCACAGCACUCACCGUCUCGCUUGCUACUGUCAUCACAGAAUGUCAUGUAAACUGUUGAAAUAGCGUGUUGAAGUAAAUGUGUUGUUUCUAUGAAAAUUUCAUAAGGUGAGUCCAGAAAAAAGUUCUCCAAGUUAGGUAAAGGCUGGCAGGGAAAAGUCAUAUUCUAAAGGGUGCU
rnacentral:lncRNA from 1 species